AUUGAACGCUGGCGGCAUGCUUUACACAUGCAAGUCGAACGGCAGCACGAAAGAGCUUGCUCUUUUGGUGGCGAGUGGCGAACGGGUGAGUCAUGCAUCGGAACGUACCGAGUAAUGGGGGAUAACUGUCCGAAAGGAUAGCUAAUACCGCAUACGCUUUGAGAAGGAAAGUGGGGGCUCUUCGGACCUCACGUUAUUCGAGCGGCCGAUGUCUGAUUAGCUAGUUGGUGGGGUAAAGGCCUACCAAGGCGACGAUCAGUAGCGGGUCUGAGAGGAUGAUCCGCCACACUGGGACUGAGACACGGCCCAGACUCCUACGGGAGGCAGCAGUGGGGAAUUUUGGACAAUGGGCGCAAGCCUGAUCCAGCCAUGCCGCGUGUCUGAAGAAGGCCUUCGGGUUGUAAAGGACUUUUGUUAGGGAAGAAAAGGAUAGUGUUAAUACCAUUAUCUGCUGACGGUACCUAAAGAAUAAGCACCGGCUAACUACGUG
rnacentral:rRNA from 1 species